rnacentral:lncRNA from 1 species
GUCAUUUUGAAUAUUUAUGUCAGAUUUAAAUCAUAUUAUGCCUAACUUUUGGGCGAUGGAAUGGCAUGAAUGGGGCUAUUAACAAGUGUGAGUCGUUACUGAGCAGAAAGUUUUAUGUGGCCGAUAAAAAGGGAAGCACAGCUGUAUGACUUUUUAAUGGGCCAUCUGCUGUGAUACUGACAGCAGAAUAGGAGCCUGCUUUCCUCAGUCAAUUGGGCACAGCUUGUGGUUUAAAAAUAACACAACAUCCAGAAGCCAAACUGUUUUCAUUGGAUGUGGUAAGUGUUAACAUUUCACCUUCAAUGGCAGCAGUAUUUACAUUUGUUUGCAUCAAAAAGGAACUUCAUUUUCUCACCUAAAUAGAAGAAGUCAGUGAAUGUCAUGAGUAUAUCUGAAUUCAGUUGCUGACCCACUGAAAAUUUUAAAGGUUUACAGAGUUUUAAGAUUACUGCGAAGUUCCUAUGAAUAUUUGACCAAACAACCUCUGUGAGUGACAAUUACUACUGAUACUUCUAGAAAAUCAUUUAUUCAAGAAAAUGACAUCUGCUUGUGUAAGAAGUUUGUCAAAGUGGAAAGACAAUUCACUUUGAAAGGUGAAAAACUAAUGAAAUAACUGUACCUAUGCCAUAAGAAAGUGGGAUAAAACACUGCUCUCACCUCUGUAAAGGGCUCUUCAAGACAACAUUACUGUCUCCAGCACUGGAUGACUAAGAAUGAAAAACUUACUUCAGGAUUGAUGAACAUAUUAAUAGAUAGCAUGUUAGGAUAAGAAAUGGAAACAGAUGCCUUGCCUGUCAUGAACCUAAGAAUUCUGUCAACAAGAAUACUGAUGUACAAAUAGUGUGAGCUGUUAAGGAAAACAAAAUUAUCAAAUAUAUUCAUCUAUUUUAAAAUAUUUCAUUAGUAUUUUAAACAUUUUAUUUGGUAUAAGUAGAUUUUUCUUUACUUAAUCCUACACUCCUUUCUUUUUCUUUUCUUUUGGUUUAUGAUUACUAAAGUUAGACUUGGGUUUGAAAAGUCUUAAAAAAGUAGAAAAUAAGUAAUUCCUUGGUGUCUUGUGACUAAAAUAUAACUUAUUUGAAGCAUGUCCAGUCAAAAAGUCUACUAUUUUUAAAGAUAAAUGUUCCGUUUGUGACUUAACCAUAAAAGCUUCAGAUCUAAUUCUGACCUGACCCGGAGCAACCCUCUUGCUGGCUGAAGGUCUAAAUUCAAUCUUGUUUUCAAAUCUUAGCUUUAACUGCGGUUCUGUGUCUGCAUCAUCCUUGAAGAGAAGAGAUAUUGGGGCAUAUAUUAAUAAAUGACUUAAGAAGAAAAGGAAGGAAUUCCA